rnacentral:rRNA from 1 species
GGCUUAGAACUAACGCUGGCAGUGCGUCUUAAGCAUGCAAGUCAAACGGGAUGUAGCAAUACAUCUAGUGGCGAACGGGUGAGUAACGAGUGGAUGAUCUACCUACGAGAUGGGGAUAACUAUUAGAAAUAGUAGCUAAUACCGAAUAAAGUCAAUUAAUUUGUUAAUUGAUGAAAGGAAGCCUUUAAAGCUUCGCUUGUAGAUGAGUCUGCGUCUUAUUAGCUAGUUGGUAGGGUAAAUGCCUACCAAGGCGAUGAUAAGUAACCGGCCUGAGAGGGUGAACGGUCACACUGGAACUGAGAUACGGUCCAGACUCCUACGGGAGGCAGCAGCUAAGAAUCUUCCGCAAUGGGCGAAAGCCUGACGGAGCGACACUGCGUGAAUGAAGAAGGUCGAAAGAUUGUAAAAUUCUUUUAUAAAUGAGGAAUAAGGUUUGUAGGAAAUGACGAAGUGAUGACGUUAAUUUAUGAAUAAGCCCCGGCUAAUUACGUGCCAGCAGCCGCGGUAAUACGUA